UGGGGAAUUUUGGACAAUGGGCGCAAGCCUGAUCCAGCAAUGCCGCGUGCAGGAUGAAGGCCUUCGGGUUGUAAACUGCUUUUGUACGGAACGAAAAGCUUCUGGUUAAUACCUGGGAGUCAUGACGGUACCGUAAGAAUAAGCACCGGCUAACUACGUGCCAGCAGCCGCGGUAAUACGUAGGGUGCGAGCGUUAAUCGGAAUUACUGGGCGUAAAGCGUGCGCAGGCGGUUAUGUAAGACAGAGGUGAAAUCCCCGGGCUCAACCUGGGAACUGCAUUUGUGACUGCAUAGCUGGAGUGCGGCAGAGGGGGAUGGAAUUCCGCGUGUAGCAGUGAAAUGCGUAGAUAUGCGGAGGAACACCGAUGGCGAAGGCAUUCCCCUGGGCCUGUACUGACGCUCAUGCACGAAAGCGUGGGGAGCAAACA
rnacentral:rRNA from 1 species